rnacentral:miRNA from 18 species
GAGGAGCUUACAUUCUACUGGG